CCAGCCCAACGUAACUAUAAGGAGCAGAGUGUGGAAUCUGAUGAACGAUAACCUAGUCUCUCAUUUCCAGAGGACUGUGUGGUGCAGGAAAAAUCAAGUGACAUUAGAUAGAUUUUUCAUCAACACUGAUCCUGCAGCUGAGACAAAGAAGAGAAGAAACCCCCGAAGAAGAUCUCCCAGUGUCCUUAUGGAGGGGGACUUGCCUUCCAAAACCAUCCACCUCCUCCCCACCCACCUUCCUGGCCUCCACACCAGAAGUCUCCUCAAGCAAGGAUGAUUCUCCAAAACUGCAAAGAAUGAAAAAUCUUCCCUUCUGAACGCGUCGAGCAGCUUUUGCUGGAGAUGCACCGGGCCCCUGUUAGAAGAAGAUGGCUCCUCUCUGGAAGGGAUGGGAGCUUUGGUUAUAACGAGGGGACGUAAGUCUUUGGCCUCAGGCCUGCCAGGCCCUGCCUCUGCAAACAAGGGAAUGGGCGCCGAUGGAGGCCCCAACAGCCGAUCAUUUGGUGCGGAGCCGUCGGAGUGCAGGCCCAUCCAGCAGGAGAGAAGAGUCAUUUAGAGCCCAAGCUGAUGCAGGAGAGGCUGACACAGGACAAGUGUCCUUCCUAAAGUGAAGUGUCUGCAUUACUGGGAGUGCAGAUCUCCAUCCAGAGACCAGAGAGUGCAAAUGGUUGAUGGUAUGAAAACAUCACUCGUCAUUCCCUUCCUCUUACAGUUCAUUUGCCAGACGAGUCAGAGGGCUCCACCCGCCUGCAAGGGCUGUGACAUGCUGUUGGCCGCAUGCCUGGCUUUUGGAUUGACUUCUACUGGGUUGGAGCAAAACCAAAGCUUCUGAGCCAAGUGCAAGGGCAGAAGGGCUUCCAAGAACCCCUUGGAAAGAUUGAGAAGUUCAAUCAAGAGGUGACUGGGAACUUCUUAUGCCAAGACACCUUCUCAUCCCUUGCUGGUUUGAAAAGGAGAUUGGAACAUCAUUCACUCCCUUUGCAGUUUCACUGAUACUCCGUUCAAGAAUAAGAGGGAAGGAAUCCUGAGAAACGAGAAGGAAUGAAUCCUGGGGAAUCCUAUUCAGAGCCAGCUUAGCAUGGAAUUACCCCCACCAUCAUUUAGACAUGAAAUUAGCUUCAUUCUGGAUAGAGUGACUGAAACAGAUAAGAACCCAGGUUUGGAGUCAAGCUGACCUUGGUUGGAAUUUGGGUCAUAGGAACAAAAAAUUGGCUACCUGACUCCGGAAGACACAGUGGUUCUUCUCAAGCUGAGGGUGCAGACGGGAAAUCUAUAGAAAUAUCCUGCUUUUCUCCUAGAGGUGGUAGAUCACAUGGGAAGGUCAAGGUAAGCCUCCCAAGCCAAAGCCUGACUACUCCGGGUUCUGAGGAUUGAGCUACCUAUUUCUUCCAUGCUUCUGGUAUGUUUUGCACCCUUAGGUUCCUUUUGGUCCUGGAAGGAAGACUUUUAUCCAAGAGUCUUUGUUUCAUGCCUAGUCUUGAGGUCUCCUAGGAGUUUCUGGUAGUUACCAUGGGAAACCACAAAUAUGGGAAAAUCUUACGUGUUUUAGCCAAUGACAUCAUCACAAAGAAAGAAAGAAAACAAAGGAAACCGGCCACACAUUGUCAGGUUGUCUUGAGCUUGUCCUCAUGAAUGUGUUGGUCAUGCUUCUGAAAUUGAUCACUUCCUACCCCUCAUUUUAUCUUUCUCUUUGCAUUCCCAGAUCUGGUACAUGGGUUCAUUGUAUUUUUCUUUUAUAGGUUAACUAGUCAUCUUUCUCCAAAAAGCUUAUAGUGAGAAUCACCACCUCUCACAGAAAUUACCAGGCAGAGUUAGUUUCUGAUGGAAUCUCCUGCCUUAGUUCUUCCUAUUCCUGCCUUGAUGUGACUACCUGGGAGGUGCAGAUCCCAAAUACAGACCUUCCCUCCCACUGUCACUUGCCGUCCCCACUCACCGUCUUUCUGUGAGCAGCCGAGAGCGUGGAGUUGGGACCAGGCAGGCAGAUGAGAAGAAAGAGGCAGAAGAGACAAAGGCUUCUGGGAAAAGAGGUGGGCAGCUCCAACGAUGAGGCAUCAGGCAGAAAGUGGAGACCCCAGGAGCCCACAAAUCUUCAUGGAACGGUCUUGGGGUGGAUGGAAAAUGGGCUGGAUGGUCUGCAGGCAGCAGGUACCCAGAAGAAGCACAGAGUUUCGGGGAUGGAUGGAUCCUGACCAAGGAUUCUGCCUCAACUUGAAAAUUUUGUCUAGAGCUAAGACACAAAGCAGCCAAGACUUGGACUCUGGGGAAACCAAAAAUGCUAGACUUUCAUCCAGACUGCAAACAGCCACACCUGCUUUGGCAGGAACAAUGGUCACCAGCCGGACGCUCCUGGGGGCAGGAGACUGGAAGUGGUGCUGAAAGCAGAGAGGAAAUUCUCUCCUUCUGAGAAAUGGGAGCAACGUGAGGCACUUGGUUCCUAGUUUUCCUUAAGAGCUCACUAAUCUGAUUGAUAACCCCAAACUGCUUUUAACUUACGCCUUCCGAGAACUCCUGGGUGAGUGCGCUUGCCUUUUUCUGAUGAUAUCAGCAGGACCCUGCAGAGUUACCUCAUUGAUUUUAUUACCUUCUGUCUCUUCAGGAUCUUGGAGAUAAAAACUGCCUCCUGAGAGGCUUUUAGGGAGCAUGCAUCCAGGGACUGCCAGCUGCAACUCUGGCUCUGUGAGGCAGAAGCCACAACCUCUGUCUUCUGGCACUUUCCUCUGCUCUGCUCACAGUAGAGCUGCAGCUUGGGUGACACUGGCCAUAGACCUGGCCAAGGUGGAUUCACCCCUUUCGGUCUCAGGGGCUGUUCAAGGAUGGUUUAGUGGUUUGGGUAAGGAUUAGCUGGAUGCCGGAGAAGAACAUGUGGACCCUCCUGGGCAGGGUUCAGGGACACAGCUGGAAGCCUACCUGACUGUAUGACUCCUCUCUCCUGCCCUCUACAAUGGCCAACCAUGUUUUCGGGGGUGCCUACGAUGUGCAAGUGAGUCUGGAAAAAGUGCUUAGUAUACGCUAACUCAUUUAAACCUCCCAAUGACCCUGCCCAGCAAGUUUAAGCAAUGGGUUCAGCCUACAUGCUGGGGAAGGAGCAGGGUUGGACUUUGAAUCCUGACACACUGGCUCCAGUAGGAGUUUGCCAGGAAUGCAGAGUCCCCAGUUACUCCAAACUCUCUGAAUCAGCAUCUUUAUUUUAACAGGUGCAUAUUGGAGGACGAGAGACACCACCUUCAUGGCAUUCCUGGGCUCUUCUGGGAGUGGGUUUUGUUCUCAAACUGUUACUUUCACUCAACCAGCAGGACAUUACCAAGCUCUGCAUACUGUGCCAGGCAACUGGUCUGGGUGAAGAGAUAAGUGCCCUCCUGAGA